UCCCCGUUCUCCUGGGCAGUCCCUCUAGAGUGCUCGGCAUGACCCGGGGGCAACUAGAGGCAGGGGUUGCGCUCGUUGCGGGCUUUCACCCUCCUACUACGUGCAUGUCCAGCCUAGGUAAGGUUCUUCGCGUUGCGUCGAAUUAAACCACAUGCUCCACCGCUUGUGCGGGCCCCCGUCAAUUCCUUUGAGUUUCAACCUUGCGGCCGUACUUCCCAGGCGGGAUACUUACUGCGUUAGCUGUGGCACCGGCGGUAACCCGCCGACACUUAGUAUCCAUCGUUUAAGGCGUGGACUAC
rnacentral:misc_RNA from 1 species